rnacentral:rRNA from 1 species
UACAGAGGGGGGCAAGCGUUAUUCGGAAUUAUUGGGCGUAAAGGGCGCGUAGGCGGCUUGGCAAGUGGAUGGUGAAAUCCCUCGGCUUAACCGAGGAACUGCCGUCCAAACUGCUUCGCUUGAGACCGGGAGAGGUGAGUGGAAUUCCCAGUGUAGCGGUGAAAUGCGUAGAUAUUGGGAGGAACACCAGUGGCGAAGGCGGCUCACUGGACCGGUACUGACGCUGAUGCGCGAAAGCGUGGGGAGCAACCAGG